AGGCAGCAGGCGCGCAAAUUACCCAUUUCAGACUCUGAGAGGUAGUGACGAGAAAUACCGAUGCCGGGCCUCGACGGGCGCCGACAAUCGAAAUGAGCGCAGCUCAAAACACUGAAGUCGUUCCGGCCGACGUCCGGCUCGCGAGGGUCGGGCGCUCGGUCGCGUGUCGUGCGAGUAUCGAUCGGAGGGCAAGUCUGGUGCCAGCAGCCGCGGUAAUUCCAGCUCCGAAAGCGUAUGCUCAUGUUGUUGCGGUUGAAAAGCUCGUAGUUGGAAAUAAGCUUUUCGCCGGGCGCGGGCCGGCCGCGAGGUCGCGUCGCGCGCUCGAAACGAAAGAUGAUGGUGUCGCCCGUCGUCGCUUCGCGUUCCGAGAGGGCGCGUUCGGCGGCGGGUGCCGAGCGCGGACGGCCGGCGUGGCUCCCGCUUCUCGCGGAAGUUGCACGUCGAGAGUCGUUCGCAGGUUGCCCUGAAGAAAUUGAAGCGAUCAGGGCAGGUCGACGUCAAAACGAGACCGGCGGCCGCGAGGCGCGCCGAGUCGACCGAGAACAGUCGUGCAUGGUACAACGGAAGACGGCCGCGGCUCCGCCGCCGGCGUCGAGAUAUGUGCGCGUGGCAAUGAUCAAGAGGGACGGACGGGGGCAUUCGUACUGUGCCGGGAGGGGUGAAAUCCGUGGAUCGGCGCAAGACGAACAGAAGCGAAGGCGUCUGCCAAGGACGUUUUCCUUAAUCAAGAGCGAAAGUCGGAGGUUCGAAGACGAUCAGAUACCGUCGUAGUUCCGACCGUAAACGAUGCCGACCGCGUGGUCGCCCACGUAUUCAAAGAUCUCGUCAGGUCGCGUUCCGCGAGCGCGCGGCGCCGACGCUCCCCGGAGCGCUCGGGUCUGUCGCGCGUCGCCGCGGGCCGUCCGAGGGAUCGGGCAUGUCGGGGUGGCCGCGCCGGGAGGGAAACCGGAGUCUUCGGGUUCCGGGGGAAGUAUGGUUGCAAAGCUGAAACUUGAAGGAAUUGACGGAAGGGCACCACCAGGCGUGGAGCCUGCGGCUUAAUUUGACUCAACGCGGGGAAACUCACCCGGCCCGGACGUUACGAGGAUUGACAGAUUGAAAGCUCUUUCUCGAUUUAGCGGAUGGUGGUGCAUGGCCGUUCUUAGUUCGUGGAACGAUUCGUCUGGUUGAUUCCGAUAACGAACGAGACUCGAAUUUGCUCAUGUAUGCGUGCCCGAUCCUGCGCGGCGUCGUCGUCUUCGGGCGGCGCGUCGGCAGACUGCGAUCGGGUCGCGUUCGACGGCGCGGUCUCGCGCGCGGACGCGAAAGUAUUCUCAGAAGGACCGGCGGCGGUUAAGCCGCACGAGAUCGAGCGAUAACAGGUCUGUGAUGCCCUUCGAUGUUC
rnacentral:rRNA from 1 species